rnacentral:rRNA from 1 species
GACGAACGCUGGCGGCGUGCUUAACACAUGCAAGUCGAACGGAAAGGCCCCUUCGGGGGUACUCGAGUGGCGAACGGGUGAGUAACACGUGAGUAACCUGCCCUUGACUUCGGGAUAACUUCAGGAAACUGGGGCUAAUACCGGAUAGGAAUCCUUGCUGCAUGGUGGGGGUUGGAAAGCUUCGGCGGUUUUGGAUGGACUCGCGGCUUAUCAGCUUGUUGGUGGGGUAGUGGCUUACCAAGGCUUUGACGGGUAGCCGGCCUGAGAGGGCGACCGGCCACAUUGGGACUGGGAUACGGCCCAGACUCCUACGGGAGGCAGCAGUGGGGAAUAUUGCACAAUGGGCGGAAGCCUGAUGCAGCAACGCCGCGUGCGGGAUGAUGGCCUUCGGGUUGUAAACCGCUUUCAGCAGGGGCGAAGCUUGUGGUGACGGUACCUGCAGAAGAAGCACCGGCUAACUACGUG